rnacentral:rRNA from 1 species
AUUGAACGCUGGCGGCAGGCCUAACACAUGCAAGUCGAACGAGUGGCGGAGGGGUGGAUAAGGUAGGGGCAACUGGCCGAUGUAGGCGGAUAACUACUGGAAAAAGUAGCUACUACCGCAUACGAUAGGAUGUGGUGAGAUGGGAUUAGCUAGUAGGUGGGGUAACGGCUCACCUAGGCGACGAUCCCUAGCUGGUCUACGAGGAUGACCAGCCACACUGGAACUGAGACACGGUCCAGACUCCUACGGGAGGCAGCAGUGGGGAAUAUUGCACAAUGGGCGCAAGCCUGAUGCAGCCAUGCCGCGUGUAUGAAGAAGGCCUUCGGGUUGUAAAGUACUUUCAGCGAGGAGGCGUUACUCGCAGAAGAAGCACCGGCUAACUCCGUGCCAGCAGCCGCGGUAAUAC